UUCUAAAAUGGCAGAUAGAUGCAUAGGAUUUAAGCUCCUACCAGGAAAAUUAAUUUUUCUUUUAGAAU
rnacentral:tRNA from 1 species